rnacentral:lncRNA from 1 species
GAGAUGGUAGCAUCUCACGCCAAUCGGAAGCUCUUGCUAACAUACCUUCGCCUUUCUCCAGCUUCACCACUCUUAAGUCAAACUUUAGUAGCAAAGGCCUUACUGUUCACGACCUUGUGGUUUUGUCAGGUAUGCAUUGUGAACUAAGUUGAUCUAAUGCCAUAGUUUUCUGUUUGUCAUAAUCCUUUUUCAUUUUAUGUUUUGUUCGUGAUGUAUAUGUACUAAAUUCGCACCGGCUUGUUAUAUGCAGGCGCACAUACCAUAGGUGUGGGACAUUGUAAUUUUUUUAGCAACAGACUCUACAAUUUUACUGGAAAAGGAGACUCGGAUCCUUCCUUAAACUCAAAAUAUGCAACUUUCUUAAAAACAAAAUGCCGAAGUCUUUUAGACAACACCACCACAGUAGCAAUGGACCCUGAAAGUUCAUUAUCAUUUGAUACUAGUUAUUUUGUCAACUUGAAAGAACAAAAGGGUAUGUUUCAAUCCGAUGCUGCCCUUUUAACAAACAAGGGAGCAUCCAACAUUGUUGAUGAAAUGCUCAUCUCUGGAAAGUUCUUUACUGAAUUUGCACAAUCCAUGAAGAGGAUGGGUGCCAUUGGAGUCCUUACUGGAAAUUCUGGAGAGAUUAGGAGAAAAUGUGGUGUUGUUAACUCUUAAUCUAUGCUUUGAAUAUUUUCAUUCAUGUUGUUGUGUGAAAUAGUUAAUGUGCAUGGUUUCGAGUUUCGAGUUGUUAUGUAUAAGUUUUUUAACUUUCUCGUUUUUUUUUUUUUUUUUUUUUUGUGAAUGGGAACGUGUGCAUCUGUAAGUGUGGUUUUUGGAUGUAAGGUGGCAAUCAUCAUAAUAAAAAUCCUAUUUAUCUUGAAUAUCAGUUCAUUGACUUCCUUGGAUUAUAUGGGACAUUGCAAGAGAGUUGCUGAUUUGUAACUAGAUUGUCGAGACAUGACAAUAAGCAAAUCAUUGAGACAAAUUAACUUCAGGUUAAGCGAUGAAGAAUAUGGUUUAUUUUUAUUUCAUUAAAUUAUAAUGGUAUCGACAAAUAUAUAUUGGAAUUAUAAUGGGGUUUGGUCUAUUCAGAUUGUUUUGAAUUUUGAAAAAGUUUGGAUCCUAUAAGCCCCAUUAGACUAAUUGAAGAAGUUGGGAACUGAAUUCCUAAUAGUGAAGUACACCAUUCUCUGCUAUGCCCUCCUGACCAUAACACACUCAAAAGAUUAUCAAAAGAUAAUUAACUCUCUAUAUACACAACAGCAAUCAGAAUGCUACUUCACUAGUAAUCAAAUUAUCAGACUUUGUAAUCUUGAGCUACUAGCUUAAACAGAAAGAAUCUCAAUUGCAUCAAAUUCAGUUCUUAAAACAGUGAAUUCUUGGAAUGUGAGCGACAACUGAACUGCUAAGACCAAUGUUAAAACAACAAAUACCUGGACUUUUUGCAAAUCAAAGAGACCCCUUUUCCAAUUUCUUGCAUAUUAAGAGCACCCACGAGAAUUGAAAUAAAGAAGGUCAAAUAACCUAUUAUAGACCUAAAACAACACUAAAACCUUUGAAUUUUGGAAAUCAAAGUGAUAUUUACACUAAAGUUUGAAUCUUUAACAGUAUGCAUGAGCUUGGUAUUAAAUGAGCAAACUUUUGAAUUUUUAUCCUACACUAGCCCUAAAGCUUAAAAACCAUGAAAAUCUUACAAUUUUGCAAAUCAAAGAGAUACCCAAAUUAAGAAAAAAAUUUAAAUUGAAGAAAACCCAUUUGAAGUAUGAGUUCGAAUUUCAACCUGGCACUAGGAACUCGGCAUGAAACUUCAACUUCAAACUCAACUGGAAGACCUAAGAAGCCAUUAUAACGAUCAAAUGUAACAUGAGUAAUAUGUUGAACAUUAGUUGGCCAACCAAUUUCCAUUUGAUGAACAGCUGAAAUUACUUCAUCUUGUUCUUCAACACGACAAGCAACCAUAGAUUUUCUUAUAGCAGCUACAAGAAGAGCUACAAGAGAGAGUUGGUUUUGUUCAGCUGUUGCUGUUGUUUCUCCUCCUUUUGUUCCUUUUCCUCCUCCUCCUCCUCCACACCCACCACCCUUUGUUAACAUCAACACUCCUGUCAUCUCUCUCUCUCUCUCUCAAGAAGAUUGAAGAAGAAGAAGGUGGUUUGAAUCCAAGCUACAAGUGUUUUAAUGUUUGUUGGGGUUUGAAGUAGUUUUUGAAGUUCGAUGUCUCUGAAGUUCAAACGGCCACAUAAAUUCAAAUCUAGAAAAAGCUUUACUUUAUCACUUCAGUAAAUUUAUUACCCUUAAAUGAUUUCAUUAUUUACUCAUUGUACCACUCCACGUUUUGUCACCAUUGUGUCCUGGUCGUGCACUCGUGCUCGUGCCAUAUCAAUUGUACAGUACUACAGUACAAUUUGGUUGUCACUAUGUUGAAUAAGAGUUUGAGUGUCUAUCUUUUCCUAAUUUAAUAUAAACUUGAUUGAUUAUAAAGAUAUGGGUGAAGAAAUUUGAAACUGGUUGGCAAAGAUUUGAUUCUAACUUAUUCGUGACUUUGAUGUAUGAAAUCAGCUUGAUUUUUAAACAUGGCCCUCAUGUUCUACUUUUUUGAUAUUUCAUGAAUUUUUUAUUUUUUGAGUAAGAUUUCAUUUGUAGGAAUCAUGUCUAUAAUCAGUUGGGUCAAAUCAAACUUGGUUUUCUGUAUUUUGGUAAGGCCAAGUUAAUUUCCUUUCAAACCUUUUAGGUAAAAAAUGCCAUUACUUAACUUUUAAGUUUCAUCAUGCAUUGUCAUUAAAACCUAGUUGCUCAAUUACUUCAUUAACAUUCAUAACAUAUUGAUUAGAUUGUCAUUAAAUCAAACUUUAAUCUAUACCUUUUUGGAGUGAUCAAGCCUAAUCUAAACUCCAAUAACAAUCAGUUUUGAACCAUGAAAUACAUGUCAAUAGGUCAUCUGAGAAAAAAAAAAAAAAUACAAUACAUGCGGUCAAAUGAGGAAGAUUCAAGAACACAUGUUGAUACACACAAACUGCUUUGCAAGGCUGAAUAAGGAAAUGUCCUAUUCUUAUUGCUGUUUAAGCCCCUGAAUUUAAACCGUAAGAACAAUAUUCUCUCUGAUUGGGGUAGGUAGGUAGGUAAGUGACCGUUGGUACUUUGUCCACAACAAUGGCAACAUAGCAAAUGUCAUUAAACAUAGGGUCCUUUUUGGGGUUCUUGGUGUCAAAGAAUUCUUUUAGGCCUUCAAAAAACAUAUAUCUAGGAAAAAGGGUAGGUGAUAUCUUCGAUGAUAUCUUGAGAAUUUAUAGCAUGGUUUCAUGAUUCAUGCGUAGACAUUGGUCCAAAUCCGUGAAGACUAUUCGUCUAAAAAGCCAGGCGUUCUUUGGUACGACCAUAAUACCCUCAUGGUAUCUAAUAAUUACUUUAGCACAUGUUGUAUCCAAGAAAUUAAACCUAUUCUUUUUGUCAUUAGAAGCAAGGAUAAAUAGUGGCAGGCACACCUUUGUGAACUUCAGAUUGUAAAGUGGACUAUGGUCUGUGGACCCCAUUACUUAUCUCCUAUGGGUCAUGUCCGUUGGUCUCUUUGAUUCUCCCUCCAAAACUCUCAGUGUUUUGAAUUUCAAAUGGAACUCAUCUUCUAAUCAUCCUUUUUCUUCUAGGGUUUGUUUGAUUCUGGCUGGGGAAUCGAUUUCCCGGUAAAAUGGUGGAUAGGUUUAGUAAUAACGAAAUUAGAAAGAAAAAACCGAGAAAAAGCCGAGAGUAACAGAGAAAAAAAAAAAAAUCUGUUCCUGAUUUCUUUAUAAUUUUAACGAAUUUACAGUUCUGUCCUCAAAAUUAUUUCCCCUAAACAAUCCCUCUCGAAUCAAAUAGACCCCUAGAUUUUCUUCCUCCAUCUUCAUGUCGCCAUGUACCAAAACAUAUUUUGGAUCACUACAGUCAUUGGCUCCAAUUAACAAUUACUUGGGGUCGGGUUGAGUGGACAUACCUCAAAAAUGCUGAAUUGUGUGUUUACAGGUUUACUAAAUCAGCAUAUAUACUGUAUAACUAUGUCAAGAUUGCACAUAAUCUGUGCAGUCUGUGAGUCUGUCACAUAAAUCAUACCCAAGAAUAGAUCAUCCAACCUGUGGAAUCUGUUUGAUGUAUGUGGGCUUACUCUGAUACAUUUUCAGCCACCCUGGUGGCAUGUCCCAAAUAACCGAGCCCAAUGAAAUUGAAAUUCGUUAAUAGAUCCCCAUCUAUAGCCCCAGAUCAAGGUCUACUAUGUCUCAAAUGAAAGAAGGAGCAAUGCGUUAAAGAAGCCUGUACACAAAACUAUUAAAGUCACAAUCACAUCCUAGUAUAGCGGGUAAACUGAUCCAUAAAAUAUUACAGGCCAGCUCCCAACAAAGACUAGCUUCCAGUUAUAAACUGAUCAAAAACAUAAUAUAAGAGCGUUACUCAGAACUCAGAACUCAGAAGUACUCUCACCUGUAGUAGGCUAUUUGAUCAGCAAUUACUCAGAACUCAGAACUCAGAAGUACUCUCACCUGUAGUAGGCUAUUUGAUCAGCAAAAGGUCAAUUAUAUUAAGAACUAAAAGAUGAGAGACUUGUCACUCAAUAAAUUGAACGACCAUAUACUGUAUUAACAGUAAGUUUGGGGUUAUAAGAUAAUUGCUAGAACUUGUAGGCUUGUACUGUAUUUGGUAUACCAGCUUUGAAAAAGUUUGUUAGUGUACAAAAUAAACAAAGCUAUCCACAUAACAGAACUCAAUAAUUAAUCAAUAGCAACUCCCAUGCAAACUACGUCAAAGGAGAUUUCUUUAAAUUUAUACAAGUAUAGUUAGUAAGAUUAGAUACCCAAACAGGACAACUAACCUAAGUGUAUAACAAGACCAUUUGACAUUUGACUUCUGCUUCUUUUUAUUGAUUUAUUAUUUUCCUAUUUAUAUAUUUAGACAAAAAAAUCUGUUUUUAAAUAGGAAAUAAGGUAUAUACCAUGUUCCUGGUAUUAGUAGUGAGGUGUAACUCAGGUGUUCGAUCAACGAAAGCUAUAUGUAAACUGUUUAUAGUGCUUAACAUUGUAAAUUAAAUUAGCUGAUUUUCAAUUAUCUUAAUCAAUUUUUUUUUUUUUCUAUUUUGACAUUUAUAUUGUGUUAGGCGUGAUAGGGUUGGGCAAACCAUACCAACCAUUUUUAUUAUUGUUAUCUUAAAAAAUAAGGGACAACAUUGGUGAGUAAAGAUCUUUGUAUGUUUAAUUGUACUAUUAUAAUAGUACUACUAAUUAGUCAGUAGUACCAACAACUAACUAUCAAUCUCACCGAACAGGUACAAUUCAAGGGCUGGAAAAAUAUUCUAUCUAAAACAGGCUCCUAAUUGUAGACAUGAAGAAAUUUACAUAUAGAAAUAUUAGUCAACACUUGAAAACACACUAUGAUCUAAAUGUGGUUUUAAUUAAAUGUUGCGUCCAUUAUUUAUGAUAAUGUCGCAAUUAAUUCAAGUGGACAACUACCAUUAGAACUCUAUAUAUAGGGAAGAAGGAUCAAUGCUACUACUCAUUGUAAGUAAGAAAGAAACUGUCAAAGAUAUCCCAAUCUGUUUCGAAGAGUGAAAGAGAUAUUCAAAAUGAGAACUAGCUUCUUUGAUUUUCUGUUGGUGUGCUUAGUACUUUUUGGGGUUGCAGGUAUUUGCCAUGCAGGCGAAUUAAGGAAGAAUUUCUACGAGGACAGUUGCCCUCAAGCUGAGGAGGUUAUCAAGAACAUCAUCUGGAAACAUGUAGCUAGCAAUUCAGCAUUGCCUGCAAAGUUUCUAAGGAUGCAUUUUCAUGACUGCUUUGUUAGGGUAACAAAUCUCAAUUUAAUGCAUAUCGUUACAGUAGCUUGCUUCUGUGCAUCUUUUAAUAUUUUGACAACGUGUUCAUUAUUACGCAAGUGGUUUUAUAUUUAUCCGCAUGGACAGACGCCAGACUCUUCUUCUGUAAAGUACCAAUUCAGUUCAUAACAAGCCAAUAUUCUUUCAGGGUUGUGAUGCUUCAUUGUUACUAAACUCUACUGCAAAUAAUAAAGCUGAAAAGGAAGCAGUACCAAACCUAUCGGUUUCAGGUUUUGAUGUUAUUGACGAGGUGAAGGCUCACCUAGAGAAGACUUGCCCUGGAACUGUUUCCUGUGCAGAUAUUGUUGCUUUGGCUGCUAGGGAUUCUGUUUCCUUCCAAGUAAGUUUUAGUUACUAGUGAUAAACAGAGACAUGUCAUAAGUCAUAACUCAUAUGGUUCAACUUGGUUAGCUUGACUUUGCUCAUCGUGGUUGCAGUUCCAAAAAUCAAUCUGGGAAGUAUUAACAGGCAGAAGAGAUGGUAGCAUCUCACGCCAAUCGGAAGCUCUUGCUAACAUACCUUCGCCUUUCUCCAGCUUCACCACUCUUAAGUCAAACUUUAGUAGCAAAGGCCUUACUGUUCACGACCUUGUGGUUUUGUCAGGUAUGCAUUGUGAACUAAGUUGAUCUAAUGCCAUAGUUUUCUGUUUGUCAUAAUCCUUUUUCAUUUUAUGUUUUGUUCGUGAUGUAUAUGUACUAAAUUCGCACUGGCUUGUUAUAUGCAGGCGCACAUACCAUAGGUGUGGGACAUUGUAAUUUUUUUAGCAACAGACUCUACAAUUUUACUGGAAAAGGAGACUCGGAUCCUUCCUUAAACUCAAAAUAUGCAACUUUCUUAAAAACAAAAUGCCGAAGUCUUUUAGACAACACCACCACAGUAGCAAUGGACCCUGAAAGUUCAUUAUCAUUUGAUACUAGUUAUUUUGUCAACUUGAAAGAACAAAAGGGUAUGUUUCAAUCCGAUGCUGCCCUUUUAACAAACAAGGGAGCAUCCAACAUUGUUGAUGAAAUGCUCAUCUCUGGAAAGUUCUUUACUGAAUUUGCACAAUCCAUGAAGAGGAUGGGUGCCAUUGGAGUCCUUACUGGAAAUUCUGGAGAGAUUAGGAGAAAAUGUGGUGUUGUUAACUCUUAAUCUAUGCUUUGAAUAUUUUCAUUCAUGUUGUUGUGUGAAAUAGUUAAUGUGCAUGGUUUCGAGUUUCGAGUUGUUAUGUAUAAGUUUUUUAUCUUUCUCGUUUUUUUUUUUUUUUUUUUGUGAGUGGGAACGUGUGCAUCUGUAAGUGUGGUUUUUGGAUGUAAGGUGGCAAUCAUCAUAAUAAAAAUCCUAU